GGUGCUGUGGCUUAGUUAGUUAAAGUUCCUGUCUUGUAGACAGGAGGUCUUGAGUUCGAAUCCCAGCAGUUCCU
rfam:Danio rerio chromosome 4, GRCz11 reference primary assembly.